rnacentral:rRNA from 1 species
UUGACCUCAAAUCAAGCAAGACUACCCGCUGAACUUAAGCAUAUCAAUAAGCGGAGGAAAAGAAACUAACAAGGAUUCCCCUAGUAACUGCGAGUGAAGCGGGAAAAGCUCAAAUUUAAAAUCUGACAGUGGUUUCACUGUCCGAAUUGUAAUCUAGAGAAGUGUUGCUCACACUGGACCAUGUAUAAGUCUUCUGGAAUGAAGCGUCAUAGAGGGUGAGAAUCCCGUCUUUGACAUGGACUGCCAGUGUAUUUGUAGCAUGCUCUCAAAGAGUCGAGUUGUUUGGGAAUGCAGCUCUAAAUGGGUGGUAACCUCCAUCUAAAGCUAAAUAUUGGCGAGAGACCGAUAGUGAACAAGUACCGUGAGGGAAAGAUGAAAAGAACUUUGGAAAGAGAGUUAAAAAGUACGUGAAAUUGUUGAAAGGGAAACGCUUGAAGUCAGUCACAUUGGCCAGGGAUCAACUUAUUUUGCUUAAGUGUACUUCCUGGUUGAUGGGCCAACAUCAUUUUUUGACUGUCCAAAAAAGGGUAGGGGGAAUGGGGGCACCCUUCUUGGGGUGG